GUUAAGAGUUUCGCGAUGUAGGGGAUGAGUGGAAGGUUCAAAAUCAGAAGAACGAGAUUUCCCAGAUACAUCGAAAUGAUCACAGCCCAAAAUACCUCAGGUUGAUCUUCCAUCAGUCGCGGCCC
rnacentral:ncRNA from 1 species